rnacentral:rRNA from 1 species
GCGUAAAGGGCACGCAGGCGGUGACUUAAGUGAGGUGUGAAAGCCCCGGGCUUAACCUGGGAAUUGCAUUUCAUACUGGGUCGCUAGAGUACUUUAGGGAGGGGUAGAAUUCCACGUGUAGCGGUGAAAUGCGUAGAGAUGUGGAGGAAUACCGAAGGCGAAGGCAGCCCCUUGGGAAUGUACUGACGCUCAUGUGCGAAAGCGUGGGGAGCAAACAGGAUUAGAUACCCUGGUAGUCCACGCUGUAAACGAUGUCGAUUUGGGGGUUGAACUUUGUGUUUGGCGCCCGUAGCUAACGUGAUAAAUCGACCGCCUGGGGAGUACGGCCGCAAGGUUAAAACUCAAAUGAAUUGACGGGGGCCCGCACAAGCGGUGGAGCAUGUGGUUUAAUUCGAUGCAACGCGAAGAACCUUACCUACUCUUGACAUCCAGAGAACAUUC